UACGAAGGGGGCUAGCGUUGUUCGGAAUUACUGGGCGUAAAGCGUGCGCAGGCGGCUGCUCAAGUCAGGGGUGAAAGCCCAGAGCUCAACUCUGGAAUUGCCUUUGAGACUGAGUGGCUUGAGUACGGGAGAGGUGAGUGGAAUUCCCAGUGUAGAGGUGAAAUUCGUAGAUAUUGGGAAGAACACCGGUGGCGAAGGCGGCGACCUGGUCCGAUGACUGACGCUGAGGCGCGAAAGCGUGGGGAGCAAACAGG
rnacentral:rRNA from 1 species